rnacentral:ncRNA from 1 species
GUUCAAACAAGGAAGGGAUUAUGGUGGAUACCUAGGCACCUAGAGAUGAGGAAGGGCAUGGUAAGCGACAAAAUUCUUCAGGGAGUUGAAAAUGAGCAUAGAUCCGGAGAUUCCUGAAUAGGUUAACCUUUUUAGCUGCUGCUUAAUCCAUGGGCAGGAAAGAGACAAGCUGGAAAAUUGAAACAUCUUAGUAGACAGAGGAAUAGAAAGCAAAAGUGAUUCCCGUAGUAGCGGCGAUAGAAAUGGGAGCUACCUAAACCAUGAAAACGGGGUUGUGGGAGAGCACAAUAUAAGCUUUGUGCUACUAGGUGAAGCAGUUGAAUCCUGCACCCUAGAUGGUGAGAGUCCAGUAGCCAAAAGCCUCAUUGGGUUGCGCUCUAACCCGAGUAGCAUGGGGCACGUAGAAUCUCGUGUGAAUCAGUAAGGACCACCUUGCAAGGCUAAAUACUUCUGGGUGAACGAUAGCGAAGUAGUACCAUGACGGAAAGGUGAAAAUAACCCCCAUCAGGGAGUGAAUAGAACAUGAUACCAUAAGCUCCCAAGAAGUGGGAGGAAAAUGAUAUAUCUGACCACGUGCCUUUGAAGACUGAGUCGACGACUUUUAGGCAGUGGCUUGGUUAAGGGAACCCACAAGAUCCGUAGCGAGAGAGAGUCUUCAUGGGGAAAUUGUAACUGCUUAUGGACCCGAACCUGGGUGAUCUAUCCAUGAAUAGGAUGAAGCUUGGGUGAAACUAAGUGGAGGUCCGAACUGACUGAUGUUGAAAAAUAAGCGGAUGAGUCGUGGUUAGGGGUGAAAUUCCACUCGAACCCAGAGCUAUUUGGUUCUCCCAAAAAUGCGUUGAGACGCAGCAGUUGACUGGAUCGUCUAGGGGUAAAGCACUGUUUCAGUAUGGGCCACGAGAGAGGUACCAAAUCGAGGCAAACUUUGAAUACUAGAUUUCCCCAAUAAAAGGGGUAAAGUUCAGCCAGUGAGAUAAUGGGGGAUAAUAUUCAUCGUUGAGAGGGAAACAACCUAGAUCAUCAGCUAAGGCCCCUAAAUGACCGCUUAGUGAUGAAGGAAGUAUGAGUGCAAAGACAACCAGGAGGUUUGCCUAGAAUCAGCCAACCUUGAAAGAGUGUGUAAUAUCUCACUGAUCGAGCGCUCUUGCGCUGAAGAUGAACGGGACUAAGUGAUCUUCCGAAGUUGUGGGAUGUAAAAAUACAUUGGUAGGGGAGCAUUUCGCAUUAGAGGGAAGCACUGGCACGAGCAGGUGUGGAUGAAGUGGAAGCGAGAAUGUAUUAUUGAGUAAUGCAAACAUUGGUGAGAAACCAAUGCCCCGAAAACCUAAGGGUUCCUUCGGAAGGUUCGUCCAUGGAGGGUGAGUCAGGGCCUAAGAUCAAGCCGAAA